ACAACGGAGAGUUUGAUCCUGGCUCAGGAUGAACGCUAGCGGCAGGCCUAAUACAUGCAAGUCGAGGGGUAACAUGAUCUGCUUGCAGAUUGAUGACGACCGGCGCACGGGUGCGUAACGCGUAUAUAACUUGCCUCAUACUGGAGAAUAGCCCGGAGAAAUUCGGAUUAAUGCUCCAUAGUAU
rnacentral:rRNA from 1 species